UGACAUCCUUCACUGAGCAGUUUGCGAAAGGAUGUAUUAGUAAGUUCUGUAAAAGUCAAAGGUGCAGACCUUUCUAAUCAACAGCUGUAUCAACAGGGAUUGUACCUCCUCACCUCCCUGGGAAAAAAUAGAACUAGAGGAUUCCAGCCUUCAAGAAAAUCCACAAGUGGAAAUCUUCAAUUCAUACCACAUAAAGCAAAAAGCAAUAACGGAAUUCGAGGAAAGUUCGAAAUCAAACUUUAUUUGCUUAAAAAAGACUAAGAACUUUGGGAAUGAAGCGGUGCGACGGCUCUCCAUUCCAGCGCUGACUCCUCUCUGCUUGCAG